rnacentral:rRNA from 1 species
CCCCUAGACGUUCUGGGCUGCACGCGCGCUACAAUAAUACGCACAGCGAGUAUCACCGAGCUCGAAAGGGCAAGGUAAACAAUAGAAAAGGUCCUGUAAUGGUUAUAGAUCCUUGUAAUUAUUGAUCUUCAACGAGGAAUUCCUAGUAAGUAUGUGUCAUCAUCACGCACUGAUUACGUCCCUGCCCUUUGUACACACCGCCCGUCGCUCCUACCGAUUGGGUGAGCCGAUGAAACUCUCGGAUGUAGGCUAUUCAUAGCCCGCAGAAGAGAUUUGAAUCGUAGCGCUUAGAGGAAGGAGAAGUCGUAACA